UACGUAGGGUGCAAGCGUUAAUCGGAAUUACUGGGCGUAAAGCGUGCGCAGGCGGCGCGUUAAGACAGGUGUGAAAGCCCCGAGCUUAACUUGGGAAUUGCGCUUGUGACUGGCGAGCUGGAGUGUGGCAGAGGGAGGUGGAAUUCCACGUGUAGCAGUGAAAUGCGUAGAGAUGUGGAGGAACACCAAUGGCGAAGGCAGCUCGCUGGGACGGUACUGACGCUGAGACGCGAAAGCGUGGGGAGCAAACAGG
rnacentral:rRNA from 1 species